UACAGAGGUCUCAAGCGUUGUUCGGAUUCAUUGGGCGUAAAGGGUGCGUAGGUGGCGGGGUAAGUCAGGUGUGAAAUCUCGGGGCUCAACCCCGAAACUGCACUUGAUACUGCCUUGCUCGAGUACCGGAGAGGAGAUUGGAAUUUACGGUGUAGCAGUGAAAUGCGUAGAUAUCGUAAGGAAGACCAGUGGCGAAGGCGAAUCUCUGGACAGUUACUGACACUGAGGCACGAAGGCCAGGGGAGCAAACGGG
rnacentral:rRNA from 1 species